CAUCGUGCCCUCUUCACAGAUGAGCAAACGGAGGCCAGGCGUCACCGGCAGGCGGCGCUGCGGAGCGCGAGACCCGGCACCUGCGUGGCGAGCGGCGGGCGCGGGGGAAGCAGUUUCUUACAGGCAAAAUAAAGAGGAUAAUCCUUCCCUCAUAGGACAGCUUUGAGAAUUGGAUGAAAUUGCUCCUCUGGAGUACUUUCUACAAGUCCGUACUAUCAUUCGGCUGCUGGAAAAGGUUUCCUUCUUUUUGUCCUUCUCACUCAGUGUUAGAGUGACGGAACCUUUGGUCCAGAACCUGGGAUGUUGCCUUUUGCCCUCUGGAAUUCCUAUCCUGGAAUUGUCCAGGCAGCCAGGAAGCCAAUGGAGCCAAGUCCUUCAGGACAGCCUGGGAGCCUCCAGGAAGCUGUUAGGAGUGCCAUGAUGGGUGCACUUGGACUCACAGAAUCUGGCUUCUGAUCUCAGUGCUGCUUCUAUUCCUUUGCUACUUUAGGGCUCACAUUCCUGUUAAAACUGUUUUCUUAUCACAGAAUGGGGAAAUGUGUUCCUUGAAAAUAAAAAUGAGAAGUCAUUUAUGAACA